UACAGAGGGUGCGAGCGUUGUUCGGAAUUAUUGGGCGUAAAGGGUGCGUAGGUGGGCAGGUAAGUCAGUGGUGAAAUCUCCGAGCUUAACUCGGAAACUGCCGUUGAUACUAUUUGUCUUGAAUAUUGUGGAGGUAAGCGGAAUAUGUCAUGUAGCGGUGAAAUGCUUAGAUAUGACAUAGAACACCAAUUGCGAAGGCAGCUUACUACACAACGAUUGACGCUGAGGCACGAAAGCGUGGGGAUCAAACAGG
rnacentral:rRNA from 1 species